AGCGAACGCUGGCGGCAGGCCUAACACAUGCAAGUCGAACGAACUCUUCGGAGUUAGUGGCGGACGGGUGAGUAACACGUGGGAACGUGCCUUUUGGUUCGGAAUAACUCAGGGAAACUUGUGCUAAUACCGAAUGUGCCCUUCGGGGGAAAGAUAUAUCGCCAUUAGAGCGGCCCGCGUCUGAUUAGCUAGUUGGUGAGGUAACGGCUCACCAAGGCGACGAUCAGUAGCUGGUCUGAGAGGAUGACCAGCCACACUGGGACUGAGACACGGCCCAGACUCCUACGGGAAGCAGCAGUGGGGAAUCUUGCGCAAUGGGCGAAAGCCUGACGCAGCCAUGCCGCGUGAAUGAUGAAGGUCUUAGGAUUGUAAAAUUCUUUCACCGGGGACGAUAAUGACGGUACCCGGAGAAGAAGCCCCGGCUAACUUCGUG
rnacentral:rRNA from 1 species